rnacentral:rRNA from 1 species
AUGCGUAUGGCUCGGCUGUUUUUCACGCGCUAUCGGACUCAUAGGCUAAGCGCGGCUCGGCUCCUUGCCUCUACAUCGGCUCAGUUCGCACAGAGAACAGAGCAUCUAUCCUGGCUCCCAGACCCUUUGCACAAUGUCGUGCCGCCGCCGCCGCCGCCGCCGCCGGGAAUCGCCUCGCAGCCGCCGGGAUUCGCUUCCGCGCCGCCACCGACCGCAUCGCCGCCGCCGGAGUUGCCUCCGCGCCGCCGCCGGGAGUCGCCCCCGCCGGUCCCUGGAGUCGCAUCCGCAAGGCCGGCCAUGGCACAAACUCGCGUCGGCAAGAGGGUCUUGGACUUGUGGUUAAUCCAGGUAGAUGUAUCUCUUUGCUACAAUCUGAAGAAAUGGAGGACUAGGAAAUCAAAGCUUAUUUACUGUCUGUACAAGACUAGAGUCAAUUGGAUUGCUGAUGGGAGAGUGUUAUAG